CAGUAGCCACGGUAAUACAGAGGGUGCGAGCGUUAAUCGGAUUUACUGGGCGUAAAGCGUGCGUAGGCGGCUUCUUAAGUCGGAUGUAAAAUCCCUGAGCUUAACUUAGGAAUUGCAUUCGAUACUGGGAAGCUAGAGUAUGGGAGAGGAUGGUAGAAUUCCAGGUGUAGCGGUGAAAUGCGUAGAGAUCUGGAGGAAUACCGAUGGCGAAGGCAGCCAUCUGGCCUAAUACUGACGCUGAGGUACGAAAGCAUGGGGAGCAAACAGGAUUAGAUACCCCCGUAGUCCCUGUCUCUUAUAC
rnacentral:rRNA from 1 species